rnacentral:RNase_P_RNA from 2 species
GGCAGAGGAAGCUCAUCAACGGGGCCACGUGCUGAGUGCCCAUCACUCUCCAGCCCCUGGGAAGGUCUGAGACUGGGGCCUCCUACGGCCCUAACCGGGCCCUCCCCUAGCGGGGAGGUGAGUUCCCAGAGAGCACCCAACCUUGUUUGUAAGACAGGGUUUCUUUGUAUAGCCCUGACUGUCCUGAAACUCACUGUGUAGACCGGACUGGCCUUGAAUUCACAGAGAUUUACAUGCAUCUGUCUCCAGAGUGCU